rnacentral:rRNA from 1 species
UCUAUCCUACGGGAGGCAGCAGUGGGGAAUAUUGCACAAUGGGGGAAACCCUGAUGCAGCGACGCCGCGUGAGCGAGGAAGUACCUCGGUAUGUAAAGCUCUGUCAGCAGGGAAGAAAAUGACAGUACCUGACCACGAAGCCCCGGCUAACUACGUGCCAGCAGCCGCGGUAAUACGUAGGGGGCAAGCGUUAUCCGGAUUCACUGGGCGUAAAGGGAGCGCAGGCGGCACGGCAAGUCUGAUGUGAAAACCCGGGGCUCAACCCCGGGACUGCAUUGGAAACUGCCGAACUAGAGUGUCGGAGG